rnacentral:lncRNA from 1 species
AUCCUCCUCCUUCUCUAGCAGACAUCGCUAGCCCUACUCCCUCCUCCUCCUUCUCCUCCUCCUUCAUUCCUCCUCCUUCUCUUCCUCCUCCUUCUCUUCUACAAGACAUCGCUGGCCCUCCUCCUCCUCCUCAUCUUCCUCUUCCAGACAUCGCUGGCCCUCCACCUCCUCCUCCUCCUCCUCCACCACCACCGCCAGACAUUGCUGGCCCUCCUCCUCCUUCUCCUCUUCUACCAUACUUUUCUGGCCCUACUCCUCCUCCACCAGACAUCUCUGGCCCCCCUCCUCCUCCUCUUCCUCCUUCUCCUCCUCUUCCUCCUCCUUCUCUACCAGACAUCACUGGCCCUACUCCUCCUCCAGCUCCUCCUCCUCCUCUACCAGACAUUCAGUGCACUCAUCCUCCCCUAAAAGACAUUGCUGGCCUUACUCCUCCUCCUCUGCCAGAUAUUGCUGGCCCUCCCCCUCUUCUUUGUCCUCCCCCCUCAAUCAUCGCCUUCCAGACAUCAUUGGCCCUCUUUCUCCUCAUCCUACUCCUCUAAGAGGCAUUGCUGAUGCUCCUCCUCCUCUACCGGACAUCACUGGCCCUUCUCCUCCCUCUGCUCCUCCUCCUCCUCCCCGAUACAUUUCUGGGCCUCCUCCUCCUCUACCAGACAUCGCUUGCCCUCUUCCUCCUCCUCCUCCGACAGACAUCACUGGCCCUCAUCCUUCUCCUUCUCUACCAGACAUCGCUGGCCCUCCUCCUCCUCCUCCUCUACCAAACACUGUGGGCCUUCCUCCUACUCUUCAUCCUAAUCCUCCUCCUUCUCUAUCAGACAUUACUAGCCCUCCUCCUCCUUCUCCUCUUUCUUCUCUUCCUCCUCCUCCUUCCCUUCCUCCUCCUCUUCUACCAGACAUCGAUGACCCUCCUCCUCCUCCUCAACCUCCUCCUGUACCAGACAUUGCUGGCAGUAUUUCUCCUACUACUACUCUUAUUCCAGACAUCCAUGCCUCUCCUCCUCUGCCUCCUUCUCCUCCUCUUCCUCCUCCUUCUCUACCAGAUAUCACUGGCCCUCCUUCUACUCCUCCUACUCCUACUCUACCAGAUAUUGAGGGCCCUCAUCCUCCUCCUCCUGUACCAGACAUUGCUGGCCCUCCUGCUCCUAAGCCUCUUCCUCCUCAAGACAUUGCUGGCCUUCCUGCUCCUCCUCCUCCUCCUCCUCCUCCUCAUCAUCCUCCUUGUCCUCUACCAGACACCGCUGGCCUUCCUCCUCCUCCUCCUCAUUCUCCUCCUUCUCUACCAGACAUCGCUAGAGCUUCUCCUCAUCCUCCUUCUCCUGUAGCAGACAUUGCUGGCCUUCCUCCUCCACCUGACCAGACAUCACUGGCCUUCCUCCUCCUCCUCCUCAUCCUUCUCUUCCAGACAUCACUGGCCCUCCUCCUCCUCCCUGUCCUCCUCCUCCUCUACCAGACAUUGAGAGCCCUCAUCCUCUUCCUCCUCUACCAGAUAUUGCUGGCCUUCCUGCUCCUCCUCCUCCUCUUCAUCAUCAUCAUCCUGCUCCUCCUUCUCUACCAGACAUCGCUGGCCUUCCUCUUCCUCCUCCUUCUCAUCCUCCUCCUCUACCAGAC